rnacentral:rRNA from 1 species
UACAGAGACUGCGAGCGUUUAUUCGGAUUCACUGGGCGUAAAGGGUGCGCAGGCGGCCGAGUGUGUGAGGCGUGAAAGCCCGGGGCUUAACCCGGAAUUGCACCUCAAACUACACGGCUAGAGCAUUGGAGAGGGUAGCAGAAUUCAUGGUGUAGCAGUGAAAUGCGUAGAUAUCAAAGAGGAACACCAGUGGCGAAGGCGGAGUCCCUGGGACAAACACCUGACC